AACACAACCUACUACACUACAUAACACAACCUACUACAAUAGACAACCACUGGCUACUACAUAACACAACCCACUACAACAGACUACCACUGG
rnacentral:lncRNA from 1 species